rnacentral:tRNA from 1 species
GGGUGAUUAGCUCAGUUGGUAGAGCGCCGGCUCGACACGCCGUAGGUCACAGGUUCAAGUCCUGUAUUACCCACCA